UGAAUACGAGACGCUACGGCGUUGAAGCAGUGUAUGUCAGACUUCCAAGAAAAGCUCGCAAGGUCAUAAACAAAUAAUGCCUGUACCAUAACCGACACAGGUGGGUAGGUAGAGUAUACUAAGGGGCGCGAGAUAACUCUCUCUAAGGAACUCGGCAAAAUGACUCCGUAACUUCGGGAGAAGGAGUGCCUUAUUUUAUAAGGUUGCAAUAACAAGAUCCAAGCAACUGUUUAUCAAAAACACAGGUCUCCGCUAAGUCGUAAGACGAUGUAUGGGGGCUGACGCCUGCCAGUGCCAGAAGGUUAAAGAAGUUGGUUAGCAACUGCAAAGCUGAUAACUGAAGCCCUGGUGAACGGCGGCCGUAACUAUAACGGUCCUAAGGUAGCGAAAUUCCUUGUCGGGUAAGUUCCGACCCGCACGAAAGGCGUAAUGAUUUGGAUACUGUCUCAGAGAGGGGCUCGGUGAAAUAGACUUGUCUGUGAAGAUGCGGACUACCUGCACCUGGACAGAAAGACCCUAUGAAGCUUUACUGUAACUUGAAAUUGAAACUGGACUUUACUUGCGCAGGAUAGGUGGGAGGCGUUGAGAGUAUUCUUGCGGGAAUAUUGGAGCCAUCGGUGAGAUACCACUCUUGUAAUGUUAGGUUUCUAACUUGGUAUCAUGAUCUGGUCCAAGAACAGUUUCAGGCGGGCAGUUUGACUGGGGCGGUCGCCUCCUAAACGGUAACGGAGGCGUACAAAGGUUUCCUCUGAACGGGUAGAAAUCGUAUCUAGAGUGUAAAGGCAUAAGGAAGCUUGACUGUGAGACCUACAAGUCGAGCAGGGACGAAAGUCGGUCUUAGUGAUCUGACGGUGCUGAGUGGAAAGGCCGUCACUCAACGGAUAAAAGUUACUCUAGGAUAACAGGCUGAUCUCCCCCAAGAGUUCACAUCGACGGGGAGGUUUGGCACCUCGAUGUCGGCUCAUCGCAUCCUGGGGCGGUAGUACGUCCCAAGGGUUGGGCUGUUCGCCCAUGAAAGCGGUACGCGAGCUGGGUUCAGAACGUCGUGAGACAGUUCGGUCCAUAUCCGGUGUAGGCGUUAGAAUAUUGAGAGGAGCCUUCUUUAGUACGAGAGGACCGCGAAGGACACACCUAUGGUGUACCAGUUAUCGUGCCAACGGUAAAUGCUGGGUAGCUAUGUGUGGAGCGGAUAACCGCUGAAAGCAUCUAAGUGGGAAGCCCACCUCAAGAUUAGUAUUCUC
rnacentral:rRNA from 1 species